rnacentral:tRNA from 1 species
ACGUGGCCGAGCGGUUAAGGCGUCAGACUGCUAAUCUGAUUCCCUAUGGGAUCGCGCGUUCGAAUCGCGUC